UCCGGUUUGUAAAAAAAUAAAUAAAAAUACAAACGUUAUAUCGAAAUAUACAGAAAGUCAUAAAAUCAGAAUAAAAUGUACAAAAUAUUAAAAAUCAAAAUCAGUCAAAUACAACCAAUCACAGUUCCAGGUCUUAACUUAUGAGCGAUCCACAAAUGCAACUUUGAAUAGAUGCGUCUUCAGUCCUUUCUUAAAUAGUUCUAGCGAUUGUUCAUUUCGAAGAUUUGUUGGAAGGCUAUUCCACAGAGUUCCGGCCGCCACAUCGAACCUCCGUUCACCAUACAUUUUGGUCCGUGCAUUUUUUGGCAUCUCAAUUAAAGAAGCAUUUUCAGAUCGAAACGAUCGUGCUGGUUUGUAAAAAUGUAUUAGUUCACUAAGAUACGCGAAGGUGCAAGUCCAUGCAAGGCUUUGAAUGCGUAAAGCAACAGUUUGUACUGGCAUCGGAAUGUGUAUGGUAGCCAAUGAAGAGUCAUAAGUGUUAGAGUUAUAUGUUCAAACUUCUUUUUGCGGGUCACUAGUCUGGCAGCUGUGUUCUGAACACGUUGAAGUUUGGAUAGACUCGAGACAUUCACACCAUACAUCAAAGCAUUACCGUAAUCAAGUCGCGACGUAACAAGAGAGCAUACAAGAGUUUUGCAAGCGUCCUCCGUUAUAUAUGAUCGAAUCCGUCCUAUGGUACGAAUCUAAUGGAAACAGGAUUUGGUAAUUGC
rnacentral:lncRNA from 1 species